UCCUGGCUCAGAUUGAACGCUGGCGGCAUGCUUUACACAUGCAAGUCGAACGGCAGCACGGGUGCUUGCACCUGGUGGCGAGUGGCGGACGGGUGAGUAAUGCAUCGGAACGUGUCCUGAAGUGGGGGAUAACGCAUCGAAAGAUGUGCUAAUACCGCAUAUUCUCUGAGGAGGAAAGUAGGGGAUCGAAAGACCUUAUGCUUUUGGAGCGGCCGAUGUCUGAUUAGCUAGUUGGUAGGGUAAUGGCUUACCAAGGCGACGAUCAGUAGUUGGUCUGAGAGGACGGCCAGCCACACUGGGACUGAGACACGGCCCAGACUCCUACGGGAGGCAGCAGUGGGGAAUUUUGGACAAUGGGCGCAAGCCUGAUCCAGCAAUGCCGCGUGAGUGAAGAAGGCCU
rnacentral:rRNA from 1 species